CAUUACUGAAGAAAUGGCAAGGUUGAGCUGGCUCUUCGGGGCAUGUGCUCGCUCUGUCGCUUUUUCUACUUUCCACUGUGCACCUUAUGUAGGCUUAUGAUUGACUAUUAAGGGCUUUGGUCCUUUUGAACCUUUUUGUAAGCCUAUGUCUAUAUACACUCUAUAAAGUCUAUGAAUGUCUUAUUGUUGGUCUUGACUGACCGAUAAAAACCUUAUACAACUUUCAGCAACGGAUCUCUUGGCUCUCGCAUCGAUGAAGAACGCAGCGAAAUGCGAUAAGUAAUGUGAAUUGCAGAAUUCAGUGAAUCAUCGAAUCUUUGAACGCAUCUUGCGCCCUUUGGUAUUCCGAAGGGCAUGCCUGUUUGAGUGUCAUUGAACUUCUCAAAGCCCAGUUGGUUUUGCAUCGACUUGGGACUUUGGACUGUGAGGGUUGCCGGUCUUUAUUGGAUCGGACUCCCUUUAAAUGCAUUAGUGGUUACCGAUCCGCUUCCACUUGGUGUGAUAGUAUAUCUACGCCUUUGGGAAUGAUCAGCUGUUAUUCCGCUUCUAACCCGUCUGACCUUGGUCGGACAGCUCCUUGACCAUUUGACCUCAAAUCAGGUAGGACUACCC
rnacentral:rRNA from 1 species